CACGCCCCUUUCUACUGAGACUCAUCAGCUCAACAGAAGCACUCUACCACCGUCGUUGUUGUGAAGUUCUGCUUGCUGGGCUACAAACAAAGCCAAAAUUAACAAGAAAAGCAGUUGAGGUUAAUUAUAUAGCGUUAGUGUUAAAAAAAAGUGCAUGUCCUAAUUUUGGAAAACGUCACUGCAGAGAAAGAGCAACUGACGCUCGACCCAAGUAAACUCCAAAUGAACGUUACUCCAAUUAGCAUCACCUGUGUCGUUCAGGGCGAUGUGCUAUUUUCAUAGCCUGUAUACAUGUCUACAUGAAACUGUUGAUUCCCCCAAGAGGUCACCAUGCUCGAGAUCCAAUUAGGUUACUACAUAUGAAAGGGAUGUCAAAUACAUUUGAAAGGUACAAGGGACAUAAGGUGAUGAGAUGGACAGUGUUUGGUGAUGCUACAAGGUGACAGUUCCAUGGAUACCCGACUGAAAGGAUGGAAGGGCUUGGAGAAGGCCGCCCCCUGCCGCCACUGAGGACAACUACACUAAUACAGACAAGAGCGCCUCAACAGUUACACACUCAAGAGUUAGGGUUUUGUCGUAUGCAACUAGCUACCAUCUCCAACGCUUGUGCAAAACAGAAAAGAAAACUGCUAAGUCAGGAGCUGGACACAAGGGUGAACGGUGUGCCGAGAGCUGGAGACACCCUGGACGAUGGAAAGAGGAAGGAGGAUCGGAUCACCUCGCCCACAGAGCCUCUCACCUCGACACACUGAGCAGGGGGACUGAAGUAUGCCAAUAUGGCCAGCUUUCAAGCAUCGCCCCUUGAAGCUCUCCCUGUGGUGAAGCUGAGGGAUCCCCCGCAUUGCACUGUGGGAAAUGCCGACUUCAGCUCCGAACCACCCUUCAGAUAUCUUCAGGUAAACUAGUCUAUGCAGCAGAGUGGAUGAGGAAAACAAAAUAUUUCUUGGGGAAUAGAGAAAGCAGAAAAAAGGUCAAGGAAGAAGUCAUCAUCUUUGAAAGGCGAAGGGAGGAAAUCACAUGAUGAAAAAGAUGGGGACAGGUCUUCACUCAGGCACGGCUCGGUUUCUGAUGGGGUCUUUUCCCAGUGCGCCCUGGGAAGUGCGGUCCUCAGCUCUCCAGACUCAUGAAGGCCACCACCUGCUCCAGCUUGAAGGCCAGCCUCUGUUUCCGGGCUGCAUCGUCCUGCUCCAGUGAACACACAAUCUGCCAGCAGGACAGUGAGCUGCAGCCGCUCGAGGACAGGCCUGGUCUUUGGCUGGAUAAUUCUGGGCAUGUGUGAAGGAGAGAUGGAUUUGCCAGGAAGCAAGUCUUUAGAGCAAACUGAGCAAAGGAAAAGGCAGGUGGGUGAUGCUCAUAGCCUUUGCAAAGAGGUCACGCGCACAUCAACACCUGUUCAGUGCUGGAGGGCAGUUGUAGGAGCUCCUAACAGGGGAUUGUUGGUGUGUUUGUUUUAGGAAAAAAUGUUCAUGAACAAAACUAAAAUCCCAUGCUUUAAAAAAGUGUUGUGAGCUUAGUUCCAAUAACAAUCCAAUAUUAGCCCAAGACUUGGACUGUUCUCUAUAGUCCUAAAGAUAAUGACCUUUGCAGCAUUUUUUCAACAAGCUGGAUGUCAGUUGUCUCUUAUGUGUCUUACAGGAUGAAUUUGUUUAGUUUGUGUAGACAGCUGAACUGUGUUUCACAUGCUAAACUGCAAACUUUUUCCAAGUCUUUUUUCUUGUGACUUAAGUAUGAAUAAGUAUAGACAAGGUGUUGGUCGGAUGCAAACCUUUAA